rnacentral:lncRNA from 1 species
CCACUCGCACUGUAGUUGACUCAGCUAGUCUGUUGAAGGUCUCAGAGGAAUCAAAUCCGGGAAGCGAUAGGCUGAUUAAAUUCCGUCACUAGCUCCAAAUGGUUUAUAGCUGGACCUGUUAGAAGGCUCUGUACUUCAUAAAGCAGAAUUGUAGAGAGGUAUAAAGAACCAUGAAACUUGAUGGAUUGAGAUUAUAGACGUAUGGGUGCAAAUUUACAUGCCUCGUUUCACAUAGUUAAAUUAAUUGAAGAAUUCCCUUUACUUUUCAUGAUGUAAAUGUGUUGCUAUCAUGUGGUGGAAUUAUUAUUUCUUUGGUUUCUUUUUUUUUUUUCUUUUUCUUCUUUUCUCUUUCUAAAUAGAGUUUCUUUGUUNNNNNNNNNNNNNNNNNNNNNNNNNNNNNNNNNNNNNNNNNNNNNNNNNNNNNNNNNNNNNNNNNNNNNNNNNNNNNNNNNNNNNNNNNNNNNNNNNNNNNNNNNNNNNNNNNNNNNNNNAAACUCAGAUUGUGGUUUAAGGAUUCAACUCUAGAUUUUGAGUGUUUUUUUUUUCCAUUCUUUAUGUAUUAUUUUAUUUAUUUAUUUACACUUUAGAGUUUCUUUUUUAAGACAGGUUAUAUUAAUCAAGUUAUGAAGACUAAACCAUCAUAUAUAAACUUAUAAUUGCGUCAAAGGAUUGCAGUGGAAAAAUAUUAUCUAACAAGUACUUUCUGGCCAAAAAGUGAACAAAAGCAUUCAUCUUGUUAUUGACAUGAAAGAAAGAGAUAUUCCUAAAAUUGGAUAGCAAUGUAAGAGAGUAAGCCACAAUGUCCUUAGAGGAUAUGGUUUGUAGCUUCUCUUAUAUGGUUUUAAUAAUCAAAAGGAAAUCUCCUUCAAAAAUUUAUUGUUGUUCCUUGAAGCAAAACUGACUGCUUCUCUACAUGCCAUGGCUUCUAAAACCUUUGGGUUAGUAAUGUAAGGAAUCCUUCUACAAUUCCAGGUAAAGGGUCUUCCUUCAUCAUCGCGAGCUAUCCAUGCAAUAGAACCUCUGUUUUUACAUGAAUCCAUUACUUCAUCAAAGUUAAAUUUCGUAACAUUCUUCAGAGGUGGUUUCCAAAUUGAAGGUUGAGAGGGAGAACGAGAUUUAUGGACUGCGUGUUGUAGGCUUUGUUGUGCCAAAAGAAACUCGUCUAAGCUAGUUAUGGUAUUGUUCAUGAUCUGAUUUGGGGAGAGACAUUUGUUAUUAAAAAUUUAUUCAUUCUGUCCUUUCUAUAGAUGUCAUAAUAUGAAGUUUGCUAACUUAAAAACUUUAUCAUCCUGAUAUGCACACUUCAGAUAGUUUAUAAGCUCUAUUCAACAUAAUGCUGGAGAAUUGCCAUUCAAUAAAGAAGAUUGUAGCAUAAGGGGAGAGAUAAUCCAAACCGGCGAGGCUUGCGGAUAGGUGAAGAAAAGAUGGAAAAGAUGGAUAACUGACUCAGGUUCUCCACAAAAUUUACACAUUUCAUCUCGGAGUAAGAUUUUAUGUAGGCGUUCAUUGGUUGGCAAACGAUCCUAUAGAAACUUCCAGAUGAAGAUCGAAAUUUUUGGUGGGAGCUUGAAAGCCCAAAGAUUUUUCAAGCUUGCUCUGGGACUAAGGAGGUAUGACUAAUUGAGGGCCUCAAGGAUAUCUAGGAGAUAGAUGAAUUCAUAUUAAGAGCAACCCAAUAUCCAAAUUUGAUUGUAAGGUCUCGAGAAUUUAUGAAAUGCUAUACUCGCUCGUCUUCUUGACGAAAAAGAUUGAUUGGAAUGGCAAGAAUAUUUGGAAUCUACUCCUCUUCGAAAACUCUUUGAAGUUUUUGAAUGUCCCAAGCAUUUAAGGAGGUAUCUAUCAACUAACGGACCUAAUGCAGCAUUAGAUUAGCAUUAUGUUUGCAUCUUGGUAAAUUAGGGAAAGACUUUUGGAUUCAUCUAUUAAACUGACAUAAAAUUGAUCUCGUUCAUCGUUAACAUUCCAUCUAACCCCUUCUUUCUAGAAUUUGUAGUCCCCAUAAAAUACACUGCCAUAUCCACGAAGGUCUGGCUCCUUGGAACGCCUGCAUAUAAUCAGAAUGAGGGAAAUAUCUGCCUUUAAGAGUACAAGCCACAAGCGAGAAUAGAUUCUUUAAUAAGUUGCCACCCUUGUUUGGCGAGGAGUGCCAUGUUAAACAAUUUGAGGUCUCAGAAAUCCAUACUCCCUUUAAACUUUGGAUGACACAUACUAUGCCACGAUGCCCAAUGGAUCUUUUCACCAAAAAUUUGCCCUCAAGCUAUUGAUGGAUUGACAAAAGGUAGAAGGAAACCGGAAGCAACUCAUAGCAAAAAUCAGAAUGGCCACCGCCACUGCUUUAAUAAGAGUUUCUCUCUACCUCCUUGCAAGAGAAGGUUCCUUUUCCAACCUGCUAUCUUAUUUUGAAUUUUAGCCUAGAUAGAAGCAAAGGUCUGAGAUUUGGAUUUGGAAAUGAUAGUAGGAAGACCUAAAAAACUAUAGAGUCCUCCUAUAUUUGGAAUUUCUAACCAUGAAAAAAUCUCUUCUCUCACUUAAACUGGAGUAUUUGGACUAAAGAAGAUGGUUGACUUGACUAAGUUGACCAUUUGGCCGCUAGCUAUAGAGUAAUUCUGCAAUAUGCUUCUGACCUUUCUUGCUUCACUCAUAUUUGCCCUUGAAAAUUGAAUUGAAUCAUCUGCAAAGAGGAGGUGCUUGAUAGAUGGAAUUCUCUUAGAGAUAACAAUAUCUUCAAUAUCGAAUUGGUGAAUCGAGUGUGAAAGACCUUCGAUACAAAAGAGGUACUGGAAGGGUGAUAAAGGGUUGCCUUGACGAAGUCCUCUAGCCAAUUUAAUCAACUUGGAUCUAUACCCAUUUACUCGUACAAUGUAGGAGACUAUAGAGACACAUUCCAUAACCUAACUAAUCCAUUGUUGAUGAAAGCCCAAACACAUCAGCAUCUGCUUUAAGAAAGUCCAUUCCACAAUAUCAUAGGCCUUGUUGAUGUUCAAUUUUAGAGCAAAACCCCUCUUACCACCCUUACUACGAGUCUUAAGAUAAUGCAUGAUCUUAUGACUAAUGAUAAUAUUGUUUGAGAUCAAUCUCCCUUUAACAAAGGCAUUCUACUCGUUUGUGAUAAGAUGAGGCAUUAGAGGUUGAAGUCUAUGGGUAAGGACAUUAGAUAUAAUCUUGAAAAUAACAUUGAAAAGACUAAUAGGAUGAAGUCCUUCAUUGAAACCACACUUUUCGUUUUGGGGAUUAGAGUGAUUACCGUAUGAUUGACACUCCGAAGCAUCUUUCCACUCUCAAAGAAGUUCUUGACCGCAUAUAUUACCUCCUCUCCUAUAACAUGCUGAUAAUGCUGAAAGAAAUAGCCAGUCAUGCCAUCAUCUCCAGGUAGUUCCUCACCCGGGGGACCCAAGAGGGUGAUAUUUAAAGACAAACUUUGGGUUAAUGAUUCCGACAUCAUUAUGUUUGUCUUUUUGGAUAAGAGAGAGGGA